rnacentral:rRNA from 1 species
ACGGGAAGAGCCCAAACCAACAAGCUUGCUUGUUGGGGUUGUAGGACACUCUAUACGGAGUUACAAAGGACGACAUUAGACGAAUCAUCUGGAAAGAUGAAUCAAAGAAGGUAAUAAUCCUGUAGUCGAAAAUGUUGUCUCUCUUGAGUGGAUCCUGAGUACGACGGAGCACGUGAAAUUCCGUCGGAAUCUGGGAGGACCAUCUCCUAAGGCUAAAUACUCUCUAGUGACCGAUAGUGAACCAGUACCGUGAGGGAAAGGUGAAAAGCACCCCGGAAGGGGAGUGAAAUAGAACCUGAAACCGUGUGCUUACAAGUAGUCAGAGCCCGUUAAUGGGUGAUGGCGUGCCUUUUGUAGAAUGAACCGGCGAGUUACGAUUUGAUGCAAGGUUAAGCAGUAAAUGUGGAGCCGUAGCGAAAGCGAGUCUGAAUAGGGCGUUUAGUAUUUGGUCGUAGACCCGAAACCAGGUGAUCUACCCUUGGUCAGGUUGAAGUUCAGGUAACACUGAAUGGAGGACCGAACCGACUUACGUUGAAAAGUGAGCGGAUGAACUGAGGGUAGCGGAGAAAUUCCAAUCGAACCUGGAGAUAGCUGGUUCUCUCCGAAAUAGCUUUAGGGCUAGCCUCAAGUGAUGAUUAUUGGAGGUAGAGCACUGUUUGGACGAGGGGCCCCUCUCGGGUUACCGAAUUCAGACAAACUCCGAAUGCCAAUUAAUUUAACUUGGGAGUCAGAACAUGGGUGAUAAGGUCCGUGUUCGAAAGGGAAACAGCCCAGACCACCAGCUAAGGUCCCAAAAUAUAUGUUAAGUGGAAAAGGAUGUGGCGUUGCCCAGACAACUAGGAUGUUGGCUUAGAAGCAGCCAUCAUUUAAAGAGUGCGUAAUAGCUCACUAGUCGAGUGACACUGCGCCGAAAAUGUACCGGGGCUAAACAUAUUACCGAAGCUGUGGAUUGUCCUUUGGACAAUGGUAGGAGAGCGUUCUAAGGGCGUUGAAGCAUGAUCGUAAGGACAUGUGGAGCGCUUAGAAGUGAGAAUGCCGGUGUGAGUAGCGAAAGACGGGUGAGAAUCCCGUCCACCGAUUGACUAAGGUUUCCAGAGGAAGGCUCGUCCGCUCUGGGUUAGUCGGGUCCUAAGCUGAGGCCGACAGGCGUAGGCGAUGGAUAACAGGUUGAUAUUCCUGUACCACCUAUAAUCGUUUUAAUCGAUGGGGGGACGCAGUAGGAUAGGCGAAGCGUGCGAUUGGAUUGCACGUCUAAGCAGUAAGGCUGAGUAUUAGGCAAAUCCGGUACUCGUUAAGGCUGAGCUGUGAUGGGGAGAAGACAUUGUGUCUUCGAGUCGUUGAUUUCACACUGCCGAGAAAAGCCUCUAGAUAGAAAAUAGGUGCCCGUACCGCAAACCGACACAGGUAGUCAAGAUGAGAAUUCUAAGGUGAGCGAGCGAACUCUCGUUAAGGAACUCGGCAAAAUGACCCCGUAACUUCGGGAGAAGGGGUGCUCUUUAGGGUUAACGCCCAGAAGAGCCGCAGUGAAUAGGCCCAAGCGACUGUUUAUCAAAAACACAGGUCUCUGCUAAACCGUAAGGUGAUGUAUAGGGGCUGACGCCUGCCCGGUGCUGGAAGGUUAAGAGGAGUGGUUAGCUUCUGCGAAGCUACGAAUCGAAGCCCCAGUAAACGGCGGCCGUAACUAUAACGGUCCUAAGGUAGCGAAAUUCCUUGUCGGGUAAGUUCCGACCCGCACGAAAGGCGUAACGAUUUGGGCACUGUCUCAACGAGAGACUCGGUGAAAUCAUAGUACCUGUGAAGAUGCAGGUUACCCGCGACAGGACGGAGAGACCCCGUGGAGCUUUACUGUAGCCUGAUAUUGAAAUUCGGCACAGCUUGUACAGGAUAGGUAGGAGCCUUUGAAACGUGAGCGCUAGCUUACGUGGAGGCGCUGGUGGGAUACUACCCUAGCUGUGUUGGCUUUCUAACCCGCACCACUUAUCGUGGUGGGAGACAGUGUCAGGCGGGCAGUUUGACUGGGGCGGUCGCCUCCUAAAAGGUAACGGAGGCGCUCAAAGGUUCCCUCAGAAUGGUUGGAAAUCAUUCAUAGAGUGUAAAGGCAUAAGGGAGCUUGACUGCGAGACCUACAAGUCGAGCAGGGUCGAAAGACGGACUUAGUGAUCCGGUGGUUCCGCAUGGAAGGGCCAUCGCUCAACGGAUAAAAGCUACCCCGGGGAUAACAGGCUUAUCUCCCCCAAGAGUUCACAUCGACGGGGAGGUUUGGCACCUCGAUGUCGGCUCAUCGCAUCCUGGGGCUGUAGUCGGUCCCAAGGGUUGGGCUGUUCGCCCAUUAAAGCGGUACGCGAGCUGGGUUCAGAACGUCGUGAGACAGUUCGGUCCCUAUCCGUCGUGGGCGUAGGAAAUUUGAGAGGAGCUGUCCUUAGUACGAGAGGACCGGGAUGGACAUACCUCUGGUGUACCAGUUGUCGUGCCAACGGCAUAGCUGGGUAGCUAUGUGUGGACGGGAUAAGUGCUGAAAGCAUCUAAGCAUGAAGCCCCCCUCAAGAUGAGAUUUCCCAACUUCGGUUAUAAGAUCCCUCAAAGAUGAUGAGGUUAAUAGGUUCGAGGUGGAAGCAUGGUGACAUGUGGAGCUGACGAAUACUAAUCGAUCGAAGACUUAAUCAA